UUAUUAGGGGAGGACCGGAAGUCACAUAAGAUCUCUUUCUCCUUGGAGACCGGGCUUUCUAGUGACCGUUGACCCAAACUAACUAAUUUGUGUGCUGGUGUUUAUUUC
rnacentral:telomerase_RNA from 1 species